rnacentral:lncRNA from 1 species
UGUAUAGGAUCUCAGUUUUUAAGUAACAGACAUUAACUGAAUAGUAAUAAAAAUGCAAAAAUUUUAUAAGAUGUGUAAGCUAUGCCUGAUAAUCAGAUCUAUGAGUAUACAAACACCAAAAGUUUUUUAUUUUAUUUUCAAUUCAUUUACUUACUUAUAUUCCUGCCUUUUUCCACAAAGGAUUUGUGAUCAUUAAAUAGGUAUUUUGGUAAAAGUCUGUCUUUUCCAAGAGCCUAAAAUUCAGCUUCAGAAAAACACUGUUUUUUUUUUUUUUUUUUUUGUCUUUUUGCUAUUUCUUGGGCCACUCCCGCGGCAUAUGGAGGUUCCCAGGCUAGGGGUCCAGUCGGAGCUGUAGCCACCAGCCUAUGCCAUAGCCACAGCAACGCGGGAUCCGAGCGGCAUCUGCAACCUACACCACAGCUCACGGCAACGCCAGAUCCUUAACCCACUGAGUAAGGGCAGGGACCGAACCAGCAACCUCAUCGUUCCCAGUCGGAUUCGUUAACCACUGCGCCACGACGGGAACUCCCAGAAAAACACUCUUAUGUGACUCCAUUUAUAUUUUCUACAACCCAGGUUCUCAAAGCUUAAUGUGUAAAAUUCUUUGCUUUUCAGGUUUAUGUUUAUUGUGACCCAUUAACAAAUUGGAUAGGAAUUUAUUCUCAGGUAAUUCUAUGUGUAAUUAUAAAAAAUAUAAAUAUAUUCUUAAAGAUGGAGGCUAUUAAUUUCAACAAUAAAAAUACUUACGGCUUUUUCAUUCAAGAAUCAUUGAGUGAUCAGACAAGGAGAACAGACUUAUGGUUGCUGAGGGGGAGAGGUUUGGGGAAAGGAUGCAGUGGGAGGGUGAGUUUGUAUAAGCUAUUUUACAUGGAGAGAAUAAACAACAGCGUCCUACUGUAUAGCAUGAGAACUGUAUUCAGUGUCCUAUGGUAAGCCAUAAUGGAAAAGAAUAUACAUAUUAAAAAAGAGUAUAUAUGUGUAUAACUGAAUCACUUUGCUAUAUAGCAGAAAUUAACAGAACAUUGCAAAUUAACUAUGCUUCAAUUAAAAAAAGAAUUAUUGAGUGAUCAGUUUCAGGGAAUCAGUGGCUAAUUUUGUUUGUUGAUAUGUGAUUUAGUUGGCAGUAACUGUUCAUUUCAAAAUUUGUAAAAAUUUUAUAUCAAUUAAAAUAUUUUCUUUGUGCCAUGGAUAAUAUACAUUGCUUGACAAUCAUUGUGAGUGAAAGCACUUGAAUUCUUACAAUAAAAUAUUCUUUUCAGAUUAAAUUUUAAGACUUUGGGAAACAAAUCUAGUAAAAUGUACUGAUGAAAUAGUAUUAAAGUUUUAGCCUGUGCUGCAGUAUGUAGGCAUAUGUGAUUCUGGCUUAUAGCAUAGGAUUUACCUUCUGAGGAUUGUUCUUUUUUAUACAACAAUCCCAAAAGAUAAUUGAUUCUCUCCUGAAAGAUAUUAAAAUCAUUGCUUCUAGCUUCCAGUCAUAAUGGAGUAACAUGGACCAGAUUUACUCUCCUGCUUCAAUUUUAAAAAGUGGACAGAAAAUAUAGAACAACAGUUUUUCACAUUGGUCAAUAGGCAGAAAGAGAUUAAUCUUUGAAGGAAGGAAAAAAAUUAGGUGAGCCUUUGAUUCCCCAUAUUAUUGCCUGGAGAGAGCUUAUAGUUUAUAGAGCAGUAAAGGAAACCCCAAACAGCCUGGAAAUGUCAUUGAGUUGAGGAAACAGGGUUGAGAAAUUGCAGGAUAUCAACACAGCUAGAAUUAACAUGAUGGAAUACCAGGAAAGAGAGAUUUACUUUGCUAUAUAUUCUAGAGGUUUAUUCUCUAGAGAAUUUAUUCUUGGUAUUCAGCUGAGUACUGAGUAUUGCAAAUGUGUGAGGAAAUUACCAACUAUGGAAAUGGAGCUAGUAGAACAAUCUUUGGAGAUCCGGAGAUAUGGGAUAGUUUGUGUUCCCACCUGCCAGAAUAGAAAAAUAUGUGGGCAUUAGUUAGAAUACUCAGAAGGAUAAUGCCUCAGUAGUGGGGCAAAAUUAGCCUUGGACUGAAGGCUGUAUUGUUCCUACUUGAUAAAGCCUAAAAUCAAGCCUCAAAGAGAUAACUUUUUCCAAAUAGCUUUUCAUAGAAUAAAGCAUAAGAAUAUUUAACGAAUAUCCAGUACUCAACAAGGUAAAAGUCAUAAUGUCUGGCUUGCACAAGAGGCAGAAAAAUAUGACACAUAAUGAAGAGAAAUAUCAAUCAAUAGAAACCAACCUGAGUUACUAUAUGAUCCUACAAUUCCACUCCUGGGCAUAUAUCCAGAGAAAACUCUAAUUCAAAAAGAUACAUGCAGAUAUGUUCAUACCAGCAUUAUUUAUAGUUGCCAAGAUAUGGAAGCAGCCAAACUGUCCAUUAGCAGAUGAAUCAAUAAAGAAGAUGUGGUAAAUAUAUAUUUCUUAGCCAUAAAAAAGAAUAGAAUAAUGCCAUUUGAGCAAUAUGGAUGGACCUAGAGAUUAUCCUAGUAAGUGAAGCAAGACAGAAAAAGACAAAUAUAAUAUGAUAACACUUAUUUGAGGAAUCUAAAAUAUUACAGAAACUUAUUUACAAAACAGAAACAGACUCAAAGAUCUAGAAAACAAAUUUAUGAUUACCAAAAUGGAUAAUGGGGGGUUGGUAUUUAGGAUUAACAUAUUUGCACUAUGAUGUAUAAAAUAGGUAAGUAACAAAGAUCUACUGUAUAGCAUAUGAAACUAUACUCAAUAAUUUGUAAUAACCUAUAAUGAAAAAAAUCUGAAAAAGAAUACAUAUUCAUAUAUGUGUAUAUAUAACAAUCACUUUGCUGUACACUUGAAACUAACAUAACAUUGUUAAUUAACUAUAUGUCAAUUAAAAAUUAAAUAAGAUAGAAACAAACCUAGAAAUGACUCUUAUAAAAUUAAUAGAUAGGAACAUGAAAACUAUGUUACAACUCCUCUAUAUGUUCAAGAAAGUAGAAAAGUAGGUGAGAAUGAGAUGUCAAGAAAAUAGAAAUUAUAUGUAAAAAAUGCCUCAAUAGAACUUCUAGAGAUGAAAAAUACAUGGUUUGAUAGGUAUACGUUGGGUGGGAUUGGUAGUAGACUAGACACUACAGAAGAAAAAGUGAUGAACCUGAAGAUAUUGCAAUAAAAACCAUUCCACCCAUUCCACAUUAAAUACAUAGAGAAAUAAGCCAGAAAAAGUGGACAGAGUAUUAAUGAACUGCAAAACAACUUAAGGUGGUCUAUUACAUGGGAAAUUAGGAUCCUAAAAAGAAAGAAGAGCAAGAGGCCAGGAUAAGAAAAAAAAUUGUAGAAAUAAUUGCUGAAAGUUUUAUCAAAUUUGACAAAAACUACAGAUCCAAGAAUUUUAACAAGCCCUAAACAUAGGAAACAUGAAGGAAAUUAGCUUUGAUUACAUCAUAAUCAAAAUGUUUAAAAGCAGUGAUAGAGUUAAAGUCAGAAAAGUAGCCAGAGGGGCUGAGAGAAAACACAUGUACAGAGAAAUGAAGUAAAGAAUGAUAGUGACUUUUCAUCAGAAAUCAUCCCAGGUAGAAGACAGUGGAGUGACAUCUUUAAAGUGCUGAAAGAAAAAACCUAUCAAACUAGAUUUAUCUACUCAGCAAAAAUAUCUUUUAAAAACAAAGGAAAGGGAGUUCCCAUUGUGACACAGCUGAAACGAAUCUCAAUGGUAUCCAUGGGGAUGCAGGUUCAAUCCCUAGUCUUGUUCAGUGGGUUGAGGAGCCAGCAUUGCUGUGAGCUGUGGUGUAGCUCACAGACAUGGCUCAGAUCCCACAAUGCUGUGGCUGUGGUGUAGCUCACAGACAUGGCUCAGAUCCCGCAUUGCUGUGGCUGUGGUAUGGGCCAGCAGCUGUAGCUCCAGUUCAACUCCUAGCCUAGGAACUUCCAUAUGCUAUGGGUGUGGCCCUAAAAAGCCC